AUGCUGGUGUAAAGACGCCAGUAAGUGGAUUGCUAGGCUUGAGGAGAGAUGAAGGACGUGGCAAGCUGCGAUAAGCCCGGGGUAGGCGCACGCGACCUAUGAUCCCGGGAUGUCCGAAUGAGAAUCUUGUGUUUACACACUCCGUUACAAUGGUGGCGGAGAUCGAACCGUCGGAAUUGAAGCAUCUUAGUACCCGCAGGAAAAGAAAUCAAUUGAGAUCCCCUAAUUAGCGGCGAGCGAAACGGGGUCUGCCCAAACCGAAUCCUGUAAAGUGAUUUGUAGGAGAUGUGGGGUAUGCUGGCAGUGUUUGCUUCUCUCUAUUUUU
rnacentral:rRNA from 1 species